AACGAACGCUGGCGGCGUGCCUAACACAUGCAAGUCGAACGAGAAAGGGGCUUCGGCUCCGAGUAAAGUGGCGCACGGGUGAGUAACACGUGGGUAACCUGCCUCUAAGAUUGGGAUAACUCGUCGAAAGAUGAGCUAAUACCGAAUAAGACCACAGUUCCCGCGGGAACAGGGGUCAAAGGUAGCCUCUGCUUGCAAGCUAUCACUUAGAGAUGGGCCUGCGCACCAUUAGCUAGUUGGUAGGGUAACGGCCUACCAAGGCAAAGAUGGUUAGCUGGUCUGGGAGGGUGAUCAGCCACACUGGAACUGAGACACGGUCCAGACUCCUACGGGAGGGAGCAGUGGGGAAUAUUGCGCAAAGGGCGAAAGCUUGACGCAGCAACGCCGCGUGAGUGAUGAAGGCCUUCGGGUCGUAAAGCUCUGUCGGGAGGAACGAAUGCUCCUGAGGUUAACAGCCUCGGGAGGUGACGGUACCUUCAAAGGAAGCACCGGCUAACUCUGUG
rnacentral:rRNA from 1 species